rnacentral:rRNA from 1 species
GCCGCAGCCGCAGCGAAAGCGAGUCUGAACAGGGCGCCAUAGUCGGUAGUAGUAGACGCGAAACCGUGCGAUCUACCCAUGGGCAGGUUGAAGCUGUGGUAACACAUAGUGGAGGACCGAACCCGUUGACGUUGAAAAGUCUUGGGAUGACCUGUGGGUAGGGGUGAAAGGCCAAUCAAGCUCGGAAAUAGCUCGUACUCCCCGAAAUGCAUUUAGGUGCAGCGUUCUGAUAGUUAUAUAGAGGUAGAGCUACUGAUUGGAUGCGGGGGCUUCACCGCCUACCAAUUCCUGACAAACUCCGAAUGCUAUAUAAUGUUUCAGGGCAGUGAGGGCAUGGGUGCUAAGGUCCAUGUCCGAGAGGGAAAGAACCCGGACCAUCAGCUAAGGUCCCCAAAUAUGUGCUAAGUUGACAAAACGCGGUGGGACUGCAUAGACAGCCAGGAUGUUGGCUUGGAAGCAGCCAUUCAUUUAAAGAGUGCGUAACAGCUCACUGGUCGAGCGACAGGGCAUCGAUAAUAAUCGGGCAUCAAACACAGUACCGAAGCUUAGGAUUACAUAGCAAUAUGUACUGGUAGGGGAGCAUUCUAUUCAGCGACGAAGGUGCCUGGUGAUGGGUAUUGGAGCGGAUAGAAAAGCAAAUGUAGGCAUAAGUAACGAUAAGGCAGGAGAGAAACCUGCCCACCGAAAGACUAAGGUUUCCGCGGCAAUGCUAAUCAGCCGCGGGUUAGUCGGGACCUAAGGCGAAGCCGGAGGGCGUAGUCGAUGGACAAUCAGUUAAUAUUCUGAUACUACCUUAUAUAGCGACGGGGUGACGGAGUAGUGAAAGGUCCGCCCGGAGACGGAAUACCGGGUUAAAGGGUGUAGAUAUAGGACUUGCAGGCAAAUCCGCAAGUUUUGUCGAACCUGAUAGUACUACAAUCCUACGGGAGCGUAGAUAGUGACCCUAAUCAGACUUCCAAGAAAAACCUCUAGUAAUGUAUAAGGUACCCGUACCGUAAACCGACACAGGUAGUUGAGGAGAGAAUCCUAAGGUGCUCGAGUGAUUCAUGGCUAAGGAACUAGGCAAAAUUGUCCUGUAACUUCGGGAGAAGGGACGCUUCCCUUGCAGCAAUGUAAGGAAGCCGCAGUGAAAAGAUCCAGGCGACUGUUUAACAAAAACACAUGGCUUUGCGAAAUCGAAAGAUGAAGUAUAAGGCCUGACACCUGCCCGGUGCUGGAAGGUUAAGGGGGGAACUUAGUGGAGCAAUCUGCGAAGGUUUGAACUGAAGCCCCAGUAAACGGCGGCCGUAACUAUAACGGUCCUAAGGUAGCGAAAUUCCUUGUCGGGUA